AUAUUUACUACUUUUUCAGUCGCCCCCCUCUCUUUUAUAUUAAUGACACACUGGUGGUAUUCGUACAAGUUGUACCACAGGUGUGUCACCUUGUACUAUGCUGGUACAACGUGGAAAAUCAUGGUACAAUAUGUACUAGGGUACAUAACCGUGGUAUACCACGGUCCUUGUACAUCAGUGUGUCUUUAGUAUUACGCUUUUUCUGUAUACCUAAUAUUAUAUGAGCUGUCACAAAAUCUUGAACCCCUCCUUCCCCAAACUUUGAUCGUUAUUUUAGAAUGGCAUCUUUAAGUUAUUUAUUCAAUAUAAGAGAAAGCGGGGCAAGAUCACCAUAUGGGACAAGACAGCCAACGUUGAUGAUGACUUAACCCAUUCUUCGAAGAUGUCGAUCAGACGCUGGACUGUUUCACAGACAGAGAAUUGGAAAAUUGUUCUUAAAGUGGAAAGUUAUACUUCUUAUAAGAUGGAUGAUAACAAUUAUGGAACUUCAAGGCAUGUGUGCUGUAUGCGUGGACAUAAAUAUGCGAGAUGUAGUUAUUCAGAAAUGGUGUUGAAAGUGGACGAUUUGACCAUCUAUUCCCAUAGGUUUACCAGAAAACACGCAGUCAUCAAACAAGCCAUAGGCUUAAGCAUCGGCUGCUGGGAAUGUUUUGUCUCGUUUCUCACUAGUUGGAGUUGUAUAUGAUUGUUUUUGUUACUUAUAUUAUCGCAAAUUCAUCACAACGGUCACUUUUAUGCUGAAAAUAAAUAUAACGGAAUUUUCAGGAUUAGGAUAAUAAUAAAUACACAUAUUACAUUUAUUUUCGUCAUUUUUCUUUUCUUUCGAAGCAAAACAAAAAAUCAUACUGCAGAAUCCGUCUACAUUAAAAAAGUAAAACGUGGCCGCAAAGUAUACUUUGUCACAAUAACUCAAAGUUAUACUAAGCUCGUUUAUGUGGCACUUAUACGAGAUCGGGGUCAACCAGGCGAAUAGCCAGUUAGCAUGACUUUUAAUCUAUUUAGUAUAGAUUUUUCUGAGAGUGUAAAAGGACUAUGCAACUGAAAAACGCACAUCGACAACCUAACUUGUUCUUGAAAUAUUGAUUUUAGGAUAGUUUAGUUGAAAUUCGAAUUUUCUUAUAAUUUCGUAGUUACAUAAUUUAAGGUUUGAGGCCAAAAUUACUAUGUAAUUUUACAGCACAUUGAUAUUUACCAAGGUUUUUAUAUCACUAUAGCCUAUCUACCUUAUUAAUUAAAGGAGUUUCACAGUAAUUAUGAUUGAUAGGAUAUAAAUCUUUGGAUAUAUGUCGACUUGGGGCGGUAUUGCCAACUAUAUUAGGAACAAGAUCUCCAAGAUAAAAAAUCGCCUAACUCUUAAAUGCAGUUAAAAAAUCAUCAAAAUAGUUUUUGCCUGAAUCAGAGAUGUUUUCAACAACGUUUCUUUCAAUCCUGUCCACUUUUAAUGGUGAAAAUGACCAUUUUUAAGUAUCUUCAUUUUAAGUGUAUUCUAACACAUCCAACCUCGUGGAGAGUAAAGAUUCAAAAAUAAAGCGUGAGGCAAGAUAGGUAUGACGAUCAGAGCAGUCAUUCAAGAAAUCAGCCACUUAGCUGGACUUAUAUAAGUAGAAAUAUGCAAACACGGGCUAUAUUUCUCGGCAUAACUGUCCCGCAAAAAUAUUUCCAUGAUUUACGCCGUAAAUUAUAUUUAUAUAUUCAAAAAUUGAGGGUGGUGUAAGAUGCGCGGCUACAAAGCAAGACCAUGCAUGCUGAGGGUGGCUGGGUUCGAUUCCCGGUGCCGGUCUAGACAAUUUUCGUAGAAGUGCUUAAUGAACACUAAGCUGCGAGCCGGCAAUGUCCCAGUGAAGAAAAAGAAGAUUCAAAAUUUGAAUGAUUUCAAUAGAAUAGAACUCUUCCAUUAGUCUAGUGAUGUGAACUCAUUAAAUUCCUUACCCGCUAGAAGCCAUAAAUGAAAAUUGCAGUUUUAUUUCACAUGCGAUUUUUUUCGAAUUUGGUAUAAGUAUGCGUAGAACGGCAGUAUAGGCAUCGUAAAAACACCUUUUUAAAACCAGGACAUCUUUAGUAAUGUUACAGUUAUAGUUAUAUUUAUUUCCCGAGUUUUACAUUUUAUAACUGUCAAAGAUAUAAAACAAGAAAUGCAUCUUCAGUAGCGUUAUAAGGUGCACAUGUUUUCUACUGGAAAACGAAAAAAUGAUCGUUCAAGGCCAAUUCAAAUGUCAAACUGUUAUGAUGUCGAUGAAACAGUAUUUUUGUAGCUGAUGACGUCAUCUUCUAUUGUUUGGAACGAAAUAAAAUAAAACUCGAGUAAAUUCUGUUGCAAAUUCGUGCAAAAAUACAACUGAGCAGUAUUCCAGUUAUAAAUUUUUCAACGAAACUGUUCGAACUUUUAAAACUAUAACUAUAUAUAAUAACUAUAUUUUUAACUAUAACUAUAAUAAUUUUUAUAAACUAUAUAUUUUUAAAACUAUAAACUAUAAACUAUAACUAUUUUUUCUAAUGAUGGUACUCUGGGCGACGAAUGAAAAGAAUGCAGCUUGAUCGAGACUUCUGAUUUAUUGCCUCCGAGAGGCAGCGUGCCAGAUCGGAGGUUACUUUUGAGACACUGUACAAUGCUGAGACACUGGGUCUUAGUAUGGCAGGACAAUUAUUAAAUAAUGUUACAACAAGGGAAUCAAUAUUCGAGCAACGCCUAACAAUAUACUCUUUGCCAUCAACAGAGUUUGUUACUGACAAACGCACCUAGCGACAAACCUUUAUCAGAACCCGAACACAAUAUGACAAGGAUCAUUUGUCCUGCAUACUCUGAUAUUUCCCAAAAUACGAUGCUAAUUUUGUUAUCAUUGUUCGAUUCUCAAAUAUUUCCAUAAAACCAGAAACUGUGAUAGCAUAAAACCGAAAUUUGCUCUAGAAAUGAUACAAAAUAACGGGAUGAAAAGUUAGCAACAAGAUUGUCUUCUUUUUUGUUGCUGACAAAAAUUUUCGGAUCUUUGUCAUUAUUAUCUCGGACAAAAACAAAGCUAUAUCGUUGGUUCUCAUUUGUUGCUUGUUUCGCAUGCGUAUUCCAAAAAAAAUUGAUUCCCUGGUUACAACUAUUGGGGACGUGUGCACAAACAUUCAAAUUUAAAUUCUAAUUGGACUUACAACGCGCCAACUGCUACGCACAUAACGCGAGAGCAAUUGGCGCGAUAACAGAGAACAACGAAAAAUACACAUGAGUAGCAGCUCACACGCUGCACUGUUGGGCUUCAACAGCAGCUACGACGGUGAGCGCAGUUCGUGAUCGAACAUACUGCCCUCCAAAACGAAUGUUUUUCAAUUCCUCUUUGCGGUCGGCUAGGGCUGCUGUUGUCGAUCGUUUUAUGCACCGUAACACACCAGUCAAGCAAUUUGACGAACAUUGACUCCGCCCACAAGAAAACGCUUCGGUUGCUGCUUUGUUUGAACGUGUGUGAAGUUGUUCGAAAAAACAAUUGACAGUUGGCGGCUCGAUUGGAAAAAAUUAAAACGGUUUGAUUUUGGUUUGAGUUGUCGGGGGUGGAGUCAAGGUUCGCCGAACAUGUUUGAGCAUUUGUAGUGAAGUUGCACAAACCCCUAUAUAUUUUUUGAUGUUUGGUGCUCAAGUUGGCGCUUCGGUCGUUCGUGUGUGAUAUUGUUGGUCGAAUUAAUUGAUUGUUCGUGCCGUUGUUGGUAAAACAUGAUGGAUGUUGGAAUAAACGAAAGGUGGAGUAAAUGUUAGUCAAACUGCUUGACCGUGUGUACGUUCCAUUAUUGCUUUUAGCUCCUGGUAGUGCGAUCAGUUUUGUGCACACGAAAUGGGUUGAAUAGGUUGAUGGUUGAUGCAGGGCGGGUGCCGGAAUGCUGAUGGAUGUUGUGAACGGUGAUGUUGACUUACGGAACAGAUCAAUAAGUUGAUUCGGGUGGUUCAGCUGAUGCAUCCUCCGGUCACAACAAUUUGGCGGUUCUACCAAUCGAAUUUGACGCAGACGGUCCGAUGACGACUUUAACAAUGUGGUGAUGCGGCGCUAUGGCCAACGGAACUCGACGCUGUGGUCCACGACAAUGACGCUACGGCCGGAAAGGUUGACGCGGAUGGUCCAAAAUGCCGCUACGGCCGGAAGGUGACACGGAUAGUUUAAAAUGGCGCUACGGCCGGAAGGUUGACGCUAACGGUGCAAAGGGCGCUACGACCGAAAGGUGACGCGGAUGGUCCAAAAUGGCACUACGGCCGGAAGAUGACGCGGAUGGUCCAAAAUGGCGCUACGGCCGGAAGGUGACGCGGGUGGUCCAAAAUGGCGCUACGGCCGGAAGGUGACGCGGAUGGUCCAAAAUGGCGCUACGGCCGGGAAGGUUGACGCUGCGGUCCGCAAAUAGCCCUGUGCCUGCCAUGGUGACAGUAUCGUGAUGGCUUUCUUUCCGUCCAAUCAAAGUACGCACUGGCUGGAAGGCAACAGUCCGAUUCGAUCGCUGCGAGUCCAGACUGCGAAGCGAUGGUUGAACUGAUCGGUUGAUGCUUCCUAACCGACGGGUUGGAGUGCAGUCCACCAGCGGUUGCUUCUAUAGUUGUCCAAGAAUCCUCCAAGUACCAUCCUGAUCACGGCACCAAUUUUUCGUCCAGGGUGGGACGACCCUACGUUGUGUUCUUUUUUCUAAUGGUAAUACUCUGGGCGACGAAUGAAAAGAAUGCUGCAUGAUCGAGACUUCUGAUUUAUUGCCUCCGAGAGGCAGCGUGCCAGCUCGGAGGUUACUUCUGAGACACUGUACAUCACAUGGUUUGAGGAGUCGCCUUUUAUAGGCGACUCUUAGUAUGGCAGGACAAUUAUAUAAUAAUGUUACAACUAUUGGGGACGUGUGCACAAUCAUUCAAAUUUAAAUUCUAAUUGGACUACCAGCGCGCCAACUGCUACGCACAUAACGCGAGCAAUUGGCGCGAGAACAGAGAACAACGAAAAAUACACAUUGGGCUUCAACAGCAGCUACGACGGUGAGCGCGGUUCGUGAUCGAACAACGUCAUCAAUCAGUUUUAAUUGAUACUUAUGUUAAAGACAGGUAAUGGACAAAUCAGCAGAAUUAGAAGGAGUUUCACUAUUUUACAAGGAUUACCGCUGAGGUUGGCCAUCUUGCACCACUUUCCCCUAAUUCCUUUGUGAUCUUGAUUUUAAAUGCUAACGAGUUAUGAUCGAGUUUUGAAUACGUAAUAUAUACUGAAAUAUCUUCGUUCUCAAGAGACGGACAGUCGUUGCGAAGAACGAGCAGCAGGCUUUGCCAAGGCUAAGGACAUUGAUGGAUUGAUAAACGGAUCAAGUUUUUAAUCAGGCAUUGCAAACCAUCCCAUCAUUCUAUCUUUUGAAGAAAGAGGUAGUGAUGAAAUGAUGGGAUAACGAUCAUAGUUAUCUAUCUGCUCAGUAAACAAAGUGCAAUGUUCGUCAUGCAGACACAUAUUUUCACAGCUUUUGUUGUAGCAACAACUUCGCUGGCUAUCCGGAUCAUCAUCAAACACAAAAAUGAUUUUUUCAGAGUGCUCUGGAUAGGGGUAAUAUCUUUGUAGAAGCAAAGAUAUUGUACCGCCCAUAAAAAAAUCUACGUGUUGCUUAUUUUUGGUCACAACGAAAAAUAAUCGCCCGAUAGUCGCUUAAGAAAAACAUACCUGCAGAA